UAACACAUGCAAGUCGAGGGGUAGCAGGGUAGCAAUACCGUUGACGACCGGCGCACGGGUGAGUAACACGUAUCCAACCUUCCCAUAACUCGGGGAUAGCCUUUCGAAAGAAAGAUUAAUACCCGAUAGUACUUAAGAAAGGCAUCUUUUUUAAGUUAAAGAUUUAUUGGUUAUGGAUGGGGAUGCGUUCCAUUAGAUAGUUGGUGAGGUAACGGCUCACCAAGUCUUCGAUGGAUAGGGGUUCUGAGAGGAAGGUCCCCCACAUUGGUACUGAGACACGGACCAAACUCCUACGGGAGGCAGCAGUGAGGAAUAUUGGUCAAUGGGCGAGAGCCUGA
rnacentral:rRNA from 1 species